GACGAACGCUGGCGGCGUGCCUAAGACAUGCAAGUAGAACGCUGAAGGAGGAGCUUGCUUCUCUGGAUGAGUUGCGAACGGGUGAGUAACGCGUAGGUAACCUGCCUGGUAGCGGGGGAUAACUAUUGGAAACGAUAGCUAAUACCGCAUAAUAGUAGAUGUUGCAUGACAUUUGCUUAAAAGGUGCAAUUGCAUCACUACCAGAUGGACCUGCGUUGUAUUAGCUAGUUGGUGGGGUAACGGCUCACCAAGGCGACGAUACAUAGCCGACCUGAGAGGGUGAUCGGCCACACUGGGACUGAGACACGGCCCAGACUCCUACGGGAGGCAGCAGUAGGGAAUCUUCGGCAAUGGACGGAAGUCUGACCGAGCAACGCCGCGUGAGUGAAGAAGGUUUUCGGAUCGUAAAGCUCUGUUGUAAGAGAAGAACGAGUGUGAGAGUGGAAAGUUCACACUGUGACGGUAUCUUACCAGAAAGGGACGGCUAACUACGUG
rnacentral:rRNA from 1 species